rnacentral:rRNA from 1 species
GCGAAUGGAUUGAGAGCUUGCUCUCAAGAAGUUAGCGGCGGACGGGUGAGUAACACGUGGGUAACCUGCCCAUAAGACUGGGAUAACUCCGGGAAACCGGGGCUAAUACCGGAUAACAUUUUGAACUGCAUGGUUCGAAAUUGAAAGGCGGCUUCGGCUGUCACUUAUGGAUGGACCCGCGUCGCAUUAGCUAGUUGGUGAGGUAACGGCUCACCAAGGCAACGAUGCGUAGCCGACCUGAGAGGGUGAUCGGCCACACUGGGACUGAGACACGGCCCAGACUCCUACGGGAGGCAGCAGUAGGGAAUCUUCCGCAAUGGACGAAAGUCUGACGGAGCAACGCCGCGUGAGUGAUGAAGGCUUUCGGGUCGUAAAACUCUGUUGUUAGGGAAGAACAAGUGCUAGUUGAAUAAGCUGGCACCUUGACGGUACCUAACCAGAAAGCCACGGCUAACUACGUGCCAGCAGCCGCGGUAAUACGUAGGUGGCAAGCGUUAUCCGGAAUUAUUGGGCGUAAAGCGCGCGCAGGUGGUUUCUUAAGUCUGAUGUGAAACCCCCGGCUCAACCGUGGAGGGUCAUUGGAAACUGGGAGACUUGAGUGCAGAAGAGGAAAGUGGAAUCCAUGUGUAGCGGUGAAAUGCGUAGAGAUAUGGAGGACACCAGUGGCGAAGCGACUUUCUGGUCUGUAACUGAACUGAGGCGCGAAAGCGUGGGGAGCAAACAGGAUAGAUACCCUGGUAGUCCACGCCGUAAACGAUGAGUGCUAA